UUAGUGGAUGGAAUGAUGGCUCGUCAAAGAUCUAGAAUCACUUAUUUGGAGGCAGGGGACGUCAACCUCAACUUAUAGAAAUCUGAUGAGUUUGACUCUACGAAAAAGCUCACAUGCUAGCAUAUAAACUAUUUUGAAAGGAUCAAAAAGUUGACACUCACAUUUGAUCUUUAGAUUUUUAUGUACUUCUAAAUACUUUGGACGAGACGGAAUUAUUUUUCCAAAAAAUAGCCAUUCUCCACAUUAUUGACUGCGCUAUGAUCCUUAUACAGACUGUCACCCUCUAAUACAGUUUUCUUUCAUGUUGAAUCAUUUUCAGCGGCAAGAUCUUUUUCAUAAAAUUUAUGGUCCACAAGCUUUGGAGGAUGUGUACGGCAUAAGUUACAGGGAGCUUCUUGUAAAGUUUUUUUUUAUCUGGGCAUGUUGACCAUUUCAUUAUGUGGGCUAGAUCUGGGCGGUGUAGGUGAAGAGCCGUGAAACCAUGUAUACAUUUAUUUCUCAGGUUUUUGGUUUCGUUCAUUGAAGUCUGAGUGACAUAGAGAUGUUUCUGCACAAUCUUCUUACAUGUCACAUAUUAUAGAAUUUCGACGUCAA